rnacentral:rRNA from 1 species
GACGAACGCUGGCGGCGUGCUUAACACAUGCAAGUCGAACGGAAAGGCCCUGCUUUUGUGGGGUGCUCGAGUGGCGAACGGGUGAGUAACACGUGAGUAACCUGCCCUUGACUUUGGGAUAACUUCAGGAAACUGGGGCUAAUACCGGAUAGGAGCUCCUGCUGCAUGGUGGGGGUUGGAAAGUUUCGGCGGUUGGGGAUGGACUCGCGGCUUAUCAGCUUGUUGGUGGGGUAGUGGCUUACCAAGGCUUUGACGGGUAGCCGGCCUGAGAGGGUGACCGGCCACAUUGGGACUGAGAUACGGCACAGAUUCCUACGGGAGGCAGCAGUGGGGAAUAUUGCACAAUGGGCGGAAGCCUGAUGCAGCAACGCCGCGUGCGGGAUGACGGCCUUCGGGUUGUAAACCGCUUUCGCCUGUGACGAAGCGUGAGUGACGGUAAUGGGUAAAGAAGCACCGGCUAACUACGUG